UGAUCCACCCACCUCGGCCUCCCAAAGUGCUGGGAUUACAGGCGUGAGCCACUGUUAUAUUUCUUUUGUCAUUUUAGGAGUGUCCCUACAUGAGUAAAAUGACAGUGCAAACUUAACUCCAAUGCCAAAUAUUAAUAUUUUAUGUAUUUUAAUUAUAAUUUCUAGAAAAGACAGAAGAAGAUUGGUUGAAAAAUGAAAAUUCCUUGAACUUUGAGUUCUGCUGUCUUCAUGGUACUGCUGAAGAUCAUGAUCACGGAGAAAAGUCAGAGUGCUCAGUGCCAACCCAAGGGAUUCUUUCCAGAGACGUACCCGUUGGAUACCAAAAUUAGUUUGGAUAAUCUGUUCAACCAUUCUUGAUAAGUUAUCUGAAUAAUAAAAAAAACUCAACAGAGGAGGUAACAAUUUGAACAUUUUAUUGUCUAAUUUGAAGAUGUAUGCCAUACUUUGUUUGAUAGAAGAAAGUAAGGCACAGAAAACUUGAGUACCUUAUUUUUAAAACUGCAUUAGGAUUAAAAGGUUAGCCCCUAUAUCCAAGUAUUGGUCUGAG
rnacentral:lncRNA from 1 species